GCCUCAUAAGAGACUCAGCUACUCAGAAGGCUGAGACUGGAGGAUCCCUUGAGCCCAGGAGUUCUGGGCUGUAGUGUGCUAUACCAAUUGGGUGUUUGCACUAAGUUUGUCAUCGAUAUCGUGACCGCCUGGGAGUAUGGGGCCACCAGGUUGCAUAAGGAGGGGUGAACUGGCCCAGGUCAGAAAUGGAGCAGGUAAAAAUUCCUGUGCUGAUUAGUAGUGGAACGUGCCUGUGAAAAGCAACUGCACUCCAGCCUGGGCAACAUAGUGAUACCUAUCU
rnacentral:SRP_RNA from 10 species